CAAUAAGUCAAAUCAAAUGUCAGUGCUACUAUUAGGACCCAAGGAAUUAAAGAAAGUGUUGCUUUCGAAUUGAGUUUGCUCAUUAAUGCAAGUGUAAACCGGAAUUAUAACAUCUUACCAGAGGCACCAAAUAAUAGAUAUGAUCUUUGUGGUGACCAGCCAGUAGGAACGAGGUGUUGGAAUACGCAAUCCAGCCAAUUAACGUAGCUCCAGGUUAAUCCAUCAUGAGGUACCUUUUUUGAGGAUACUCAUCAUUCCCUCCGGGAGGAAAUUGACGGCAUCUUGUUUUGGCGUAUACUUUUCCCCGACCAGUUUUUUGAGUUUUUUCUUGCUCUCCUUAAUAAAACACUGUUUUUUAAUGCA